AGUGUUUGCUAAAUGACUAAAAAGUAAAAAAAAAAAAGUGACUAAUAUUAGAAAAUGUGCUAAAAGCAAGUGACAUAUGUUAAACCCGUUUCUCCUCUAUGUUCAUCCCAUAGUGGGAAACAAGAGCAAGCAGGUGUCCGUUGUCUAUACCUGUGCGUAACGUGAAGGAUGGCUCAAGUCUCAAUGAUAUGCUGCAGUUAAGAACCAACAAUGUACAUCACAAGUUUGUGAAGGUUCUGUCAUGACUCCCAAGGCUCUAACGCGCUGUCCCAAAGACACUCCUCUUGAGAUCCUACCUCAGCUGAUCGACCUAAUCAACCAAUACUACAAGUCCUUCAAAAUAGCCCCAAAACUGAACACCACCUUGCCAGAUUGGAGGAAGUUGCUAUGGAGAUAGGUUCCACAGGAACAUAUUCGCUGACUAUGGACGAAUUAGUGUUUGGUGCUCGACAAGCAUGGAGGAACGCCCCAAGAUGCAUCGGCAGGAUUCAGUGGUCCAAUUUACAAGUGUUUGACGCCAGAAAGUGCAAGACUACUCAGGAUAUGUUCAAGUCUCUGUGCAAACACUUACAGUUUGCCACAAAUGGAGGAAACCUAAGGUAAACAAAGAGU